ensembl:lncRNA
CACUCCACUCACCCAGAGGAGCAGCUACACAGCGCACUGAAAAAACCAACAGGCAAAAAUCAACAGAGGGGAGGGAGUCUAGGAGGCGGAGGGGAAGGAGGAGGUGAAAACGCCCUGGAAAUUUUGAUAGAGAAAUAGGAAAGCUUGAGAAAAGCAAAGCAGACUGCACAGUUGACCAGUCUUUUAGACAGCGCUGAUCUUGGGUCGGGUGGAAGGGAAGAGGUUUUCAAGGAUGCUCAAGCAGAAGUAAGGCUUGGAGGCGCCCCUGCUGCGCACAGAAGUCAAGAACCAAAGACAAACUUUCAGAGUGAGGGCCUUGGCACUGCUUGAGCAAUCCAAGGAAAACCAAGGCUGACUUUCAAGCACACCUGAAGUACAAAAAAAGACAAGAAAAGGUGAAAUGUCUUUGUUUUAUAUCCAGAGGAAUGGAACAGGCCUAUCUUUAUCUGUAUCUGUAUAGAGUUUAAUCUGCGC